GUGAAUUGCAGUUGUGCUAGCAAAUUUCUUUUUUGCAGUAUGCUUCUGUGUUUGUAGCCAACUGAUUUCUCAUUGUUUGUCGGUGCAUACAAAAAUCAUGAUCAAUGUGGUACAAACUUUAUCUAAAUUCAAUAGGCACGGUAUUACUAAGUUCUUCUGAAGGCACUUGCUGUGAUGUACUAUGGUUUACUUUUUAUUUGCUCUAAAGGAUUUGGGGAUUUGUAACUUAUUUUGAUAUAGCUUGAGAAUAUCAGUUUGCAACUCGCUUGGGUAGUAAAUACCACUGUCAAUCACUACUUGGUAUUAAGCUGCAUUAUUUGCAAUUAACUUUUCAACAAUUUGCAUGUUGAUUCAGAGUAGCAUUGGUGGCUUAAAU
rnacentral:misc_RNA from 1 species